rnacentral:lncRNA from 1 species
AUACAGUGUUUGUGUCUUAUAAGAUAAAGAUGAACAUAACCCCUCUACCAUUGCCUGACUUUCCUAGUGUCUGGGAAUAGUGCUUUCGAGGGAGAAAGAGCCAUUAAGGACAGUGCGAUCCUACUUGGCAGACUGUGAAAGGCUAAGAAUAUGACCAUGACUGAUAAGGAUCACACCACGCAUGGCUGAGAAUAGAAGAGAGAGAAUGAACAAUGGGACCACGAGAAACCAAAGGGCUAUGACUAUGACGGAGUACCACAGUCAUGUUGGGAUUUAAGACAUCCCACUGAGUCUUCUCAUGGAUGCCUCAUUGAAAGCCUGUCCAUGUGCUUCUGAGUGAUGUGAAAUCUGGGAAAUGAAGAAACAUAAAUUACUCCCUUUUACUGGAAGAAUUGCCGGUCCCACAAGGUUCACAGGUAGAACUGGACAAUGGUAGACGUCUCCAUUGUUGAUAGAACACUUACUCGUAGCUGAGGAGAAAAUAAGAUAUGCUUCUCCCAGAGAAAAAGGCUAUUUCUUCUUUCCAUAUUGACAGGUAUUUAAAAUGUCCUAUGGAGAGAAAAGAUAAGUUAAAAAUAUCAGGAAUGUGAAAAAAUCUAUUUUUUCUGCUAUUUUUAUAAGCCAAAUAUGAUUAUAAAUGACUAUCAACUUGAUGUUCAUAACUAUGCUAUAUUACUCUCAUAACAGUCAAAGGCUUACCAAAAUUUUAUUCUAAGUACCUAAUUACUCUAAAAUAUUCCUUCUAGGGGCACCUAGGUGGCUCAGUCAGUUUAGCAUCCAAGUCUUGAUUUCAGCUUAGGUCAUGAACUCAUAGUUCCUGGGUUUGAGCCCCACAUCUGUCUCUGAGCUGACAGAGUGGAGCCUGCUUGGGAUUCUCUCUCUCUCUCUCUCUCUCUCUCUCUCUCUCUCUCUCUCUGUCUCUCUCUCUGUCUCUGCCCCUACUCCCACUCGUGCUCUCUCUCUCUUUCUCAGAAUAAAUAAAUAAAACAUUAAAAAAAUACUCA